AAAAAAGGUAAGCUACUAAGAGCGAAUGGUGGAUGCCUUGACUGGUAAAGGCGAUGAAGGACGUACUAGACUGCGAUAAGCUACGGGGAGCUGUCAAGAAGCUUUGAUCCGUAGAUUUCCGAAUGGGGCAACCCAAUGUAUAGAGAUAUACAUUACCUAUAUAGGAGCGAACGAGGGGAAUUGAAACAUCUUAGUACCCUCAGGAAAAGAAAUCAAUAGAGAUUGCGUCAGUAGCGGCGAGCGAAAGCGCAAGAGGGCAAACCCAGUGCUUGCACUGGGGGUUGUAGGACUGCAAUGUGCAAGAGGUGAGUUUAGCAGAACAUUCUGGAAAGUAUAGCCAUAGAGGGUGAUAGUCCCGUAUGCGAAAAACAAACCUUAGCUAGCAGUAUCCUGAGUAGGGCGGGACACGAGAAAUCCUGUCUGAAGCUGGGUCGACCACGAUCCAACCCUAAAUACUAAUACCAGAUCGAUAGUGCACAAGUACCGUGAGGGAAAGGUGAAAAGAACUGAGGUGAUCAGAGUGAAAUAGAACCUGAAACCAUUUGCUUACAAUCAUUCAGAGCACUAUGUAGCAAUACAGUGUGAUGGACUGCCUUUUGCAUAAUGAGCCUGCGAGUUGUGGUGUCUGGCAAGGUUAAGCAAACGCGAAGCCGUAGCGAAAGCGAGUCUGAAUAGGGCGCUUAGUCAGAUGCUGCAGACCCGAAACGAAGUGAUCUAUCCAUGAGCAAGUUGAAGCUAGUGUAAGAACUAGUGGAGGACUGAACCCAUAGGCGUUGAAAAGCCCCGGGAUGACUUGUGGAUAGGGGUGAAAGGCCAAUCAAACUUCGUGAUAGCUGGUUCUCUCCGAAAUAUAUUUAGGUAUAGCGUUGUGUCGUAAUAUAAGGGGGUAGAGCACUGAAUGGGCUAGGGCAUACACCAAUGUACCAAACCCUAUCAAACUCCGAAUACCUUAUAUGUAAUCACAGCAGUCAGGCGGCGAGUGAUAAAAUCCGUCGUCAAGAGGGAAACAACCCAGACUACCAGCUAAGGUCCCUAAAUCUUACUUAAGUGGAAAACGAUGUGAAGUUACUUAAACAACCAGGAGGUUGGCUUAGAAGCAGCCAUCCUUUAAAGAAAGCGUAAUAGCUCACUGGUCUAGUGAUUUUGCGCGGAAAAUAUAACGGGGCUAAAGUAAGUACCGAAGCUGUAGACUUGAUUUUAUCAAGUGGUAGGAGAGCGUUCUAUUUGCGUCGAAGGUAUACCGGUAAGGAGUGCUGGAGCGAAUAGAAGUGAGCAUGCAGGCAUGAGUAGCGAUAAUUAAUGUGAGAAUCAUUAACGCCGUAAACCCAAGGUUUCCUACGCGAUGCUCGUCAUCGUAGGGUUAGUCGGGUCCUAAGUCGAGUCCGAAAGGGGUAGACGAUGGCAAAUUGGUUAAUAUUCCAAUACCAACAUUAGUGUGCGAUGGAAGGACGCUUAGGGCUAAGGGGGCUAGCGGAUGGAAGUGCUAGUCUAAGGUCGUAGGAGGUUAUACAGGCAAAUCCGUAUAACAAUACUCCGAGAACUGAAAGGCUUUUUGAAGUCUUCGGAUGGAUAGAAGAACCCCUGAUGCCGUCGAGCCAAGAAAAGUUUCUAAGUUUAGCUAAUGUUGCCCGUACCGUAAACCGACACAGGUGGGUGGGAUGAGUAUUCUAAGGCGCGUGGAAGAACUCUCUUUAAGGAACUCUGCAAAAUAGCACCGUAUCUUCGGUAUAAGGUGUGGUUCGCUUCGUAUUAGGAUUUACUCCGAAAGCGAAGAAACUUACAACAAAGAGUCCCUCCCGACUGUUUACCAAAAACACAGCACUCUGCUAACUCGUAAGAGGAUGUAUAGGGUGUGACGCCUGCCCGGUGCUCGAAGGUUAAUUGAUGGGGUUAGCAUUAGCGAAGCUCUUGAUCGAAGCCCGAGUAAACGGCGGCCGUAACUAUAACGGUCCUAAGGUAGCGAAAUUCCUUGUCGGUUAAAUACCGACCUGCAUGAAUGGCGUAACGAGAUGGGAGCUGUCUCAAAGAGGGAUCCAGUGAAAUUGUAGUGGAGGUGAAAAUUCCUCCUACCCGCGGCAAGACGGAAAGACCCCGUGGACCUUUACUACAGCUUGACACUGCUAUUUGGAUAAGAAUGUGCAGGAUAGGUGGGAGGCUUUGAGUAUAUGACGCCAGUUGUAUAUGAGCCAUUGUUGAGAUACCACUCUUUCUUAUUUGGGUAGCUAACCAGCUUGAGUUAUCCUCAAGUGGGACAAUGUCUGGUGGGUAGUUUGACUGGGGCGGUCGCCUCCCAAAUAAUAACGGAGGCUUACAAAGGUUGGCUCAGAACGGUUGGAAAUCGUUCGUAGAGUAUAAAGGUAUAAGCCAGCUUAACUGCAAGACAUACAAGUCAAGCAGAGACGAAAGUCGGUCUUAGUGAUCCGGUGGUUCUGUGUGGAAGGGCCAUCGCUCAAAGGAUAAAAGGUACCCCGGGGAUAACAGGCUGAUCUCCCCCAAGAGCUCACAUCGACGGGGAGGUUUGGCACCUCGAUGUCGGCUCAUCGCAUCCUGGGGCUGGAGCAGGUCCCAAGGGUAUGGCUGUUCGCCAUUUAAAGCGGUACGCGAGCUGGGUUCAGAACGUCGUGAGACAGUUCGGUCCCUAUCUGCCGUGGGCGUAAGAAGAUUGAAGAGAUUUGACCCUAGUACGAGAGGACCGGGUUGAACAAACCACUGGUGUAGCUGUUGUUCUGCCAAGAGCAUCGCAGCGUAGCUAAGUUUGGAAAGGAUAAACGCUGAAAGCAUCUAAGCGUGAAGCCAACUCUAAGAUGAAUCUUCUCUAAGCUCUCUAGAAGACUACUAGUUUGAUAGGCUGGGUGUGUAAUGGAUGAAAGUCCUUUAGCUGACCAGUACUAAUAGAGCGUUUGGCUUAUCUUUAAUAAAGCAU
rnacentral:rRNA from 1 species